UGUGUGUGUGUGUGUGUGUGUGUGUGUGUGUGUGUGUGUGUGUGUGUGUGUGUGUGUGACCUCAUGUUGACAUUCAGGGCUGUUCAGACUCACAACAGGCAGAUAAUCAGCAUGGCUGGAUAUGUGACCUCCAUUGCAGGGGCAGAAAUGCCCACCUAACUUUAUAUCAGCUAUAGUCCCUGAAGCUCUAUGUGAUGGACGAGGACAUUCUUCUCUAAGCAAACGCUUGAGUUCUACACAGCCACACCAUAAAUAAUUGAAUUUGUGCGCAGAUGCUGCCCAGGCCACACAUCAGUCCCGCCAAGGUCACUCCCAGCUGUGAUAAGCAAGCUCCAAUGUUGACUUCAGCAUCCAGGGAAAUUAAAGAGAGAAACACAACAUUUUUAGCCUUUUUCCUACCCUGUUUUCUGGAUUAAAUGAUAAAAAUAAUCUGCUGGUUCUCACAGUAGUACUUGCAUUAAUGCAAAUAAUUUGAAACACAAACUGCAUCCCAAAUGAUGCACUAUACACUAUGUACUUAUGCACUAUGUACUCAACCAUGUAGUGUAUGAAUUGUAUAAGGUUAUUUUGUCAUUAAUAAUCAGAGUCUGA
ensembl:lncRNA